CAAACUUAAGGUGAUGGGGUUCCGCCUAAAACCGCUUUUCUUGAAAGCUGAUGACUCCUACUUCAAC
rnacentral:ncRNA from 2 species